GUUUGACACAGAGCUUGUUGGAAGUUCAUUCAAGUUUUUCUCUGAGGCCUGCAUCAAGGCAACAUGGAUAUCUCCCAAUGAUUUUGCUUCAACGACUUCCAAAUCUGAACUUGUUUCACCUUUGGCUUCUUCUUUAAUCUGGCUUUCGAUUGCACUGGGAAGGAUGACAUCCUCCACAUCUACUCCUUCAUGGAGUUGCUGAAAA
rnacentral:misc_RNA from 1 species